GAUGAACGCUGGCGGCGUGCCUAAUACAUGCAAGUCGAGCGAACAGACGAGGAGCUUGCUCCUCUGACGUUAGCGGCGGACGGGUGAGUAACACGUGGAUAACCUACCUAUAAGACUGGGAUAACUUCGGGAAACCGGAGCUAAUACCGGAUAAUAUAUUGAACCGCAUGGUUCAAUAGUGAAAGACGGUUUUGCUGUCACUUAUAGAUGGAUCCGCGCCGCAUUAGCUAGUUGGUAAGGUAACGGCUUACCAAGGCAACGAUGCAUAGCUGACCUGAGAGGGUGAUCGGCCACACUGGAACUGAGACACGGUCCAGACUCCUACGGGAGGCAGCAGUAGGGAAUCUUCCGCAAUGGGCGAAAGCCUGACGGAGCAACGCCGCGUGAGUGAUGAAGGUCUUCGGAUCGUAAAACUCUGUUAUUAGGGAAGAACAAAUGUGUAAGUAACUAUGCACGUCUUGACGGUACCUAAUCAGAAAGCCACGGCUAACUACGUG
rnacentral:rRNA from 1 species